rnacentral:rRNA from 1 species
ACUCCUACGGGAGGCAGCAGUGGGGGAAUCUUCCGCAAUGGACGAAAGUCUGACGGAGCAACGCCGCGUGUAUGAUGAAGGUCUUCGGAUUGUAAAGUACUGUCUUUGGGGAAGAAUGAUUGGUUUGAAAAUAUUGAGCCAAUAUGACGGUACCCAAGGAGGAAGCCCCGGCUAACUACGUGCCAGCAGCCGCGGUAAUACGUAGGGGGCAAGCGUUGUCCGGAAUUAUUGGGCGUAAAGGGCGCGUAGGCGGAUAGUUAAGUCCGGUGUGAAAGAUCAGGGCUCAACCCUGAGAGUGCAUCGGAAACUGGUUAUCUUGAGGACAGGAGAGGAAAGUGGAAUUCCUAGUGUAGCGGUGAAAUGCGUAGAUAUUAGGAGGAACACCAGUGGCGAAGGCGACUUUCUGGACUGUAACUGACGYUGAGGCGCGAAAGCGUGGGGAGCAAACAGGAUUAGAUACCCUGGUAGUCCACGCUGUAAACGAUGAGUGCUAGGUGUAGAGGGUAUCGACCCCUUCUGUGCCGCAGUUAACACAAUAAGCACUCCGCCUGGGGGGUACGGCCGCAAGGUUGAAACUCAAAUGAAUUGACGG